UACAGAGGUCCCAAGCGUUGUUCGGAUUCACUGGGCGUAAAGGGUGCGUAGGCGGUCGGGUAAGUCUGAUGUGAAAUCUCACAGCUUAACUGUGAAACUGCAUUGGAUACUAUUCGGCUUGAGAGUUGGAGGGGGGACUGGAAUUCUUGGUGUAGCAGUGAAAUGCGUAGAUAUCAAGAGGAACACCAGUGGCGAAGGCGAGUCCCUGGACAACUUCUGACGCUGAGGCACGAAAGCUAGGGGAGCAAACGGG
rnacentral:rRNA from 1 species